AUACGGGGGGCGCAAGCGUUGUCCGGAAUCACUGGGCGUAAAGCGCGCGUAGGCGGCCAGGUCAGUCAUUUGUGAAAUCCCGGAGCUCAACUCCGGGCGUGCAAGUGAUACUGCUUGGCUAGAGCAUGGUAGAGGCAAGUGGAAUUCCCGGUGUAGCGGUGGAAUGCGUAGAUAUCGGGAAGAACACCAGUGGCGAAGGCGGCUUGCUGGGCCAUUGCUGACGCUGAGGCGCGAAAGCGUGGGGAGCAAACGGGAUUAGAAACCCCGGUAGUCC
rnacentral:rRNA from 1 species